rnacentral:rRNA from 1 species
AGCGCGACGGGUGAGUAAUGCUUGGGAACAUGCCUUGAGGUGGGGGACAACAGUUGGAAACGACUGCUAAUACCGCAUAAUGUCUACGGACCAAAGGGGGCUUCGGCUCUCGCCUUUAGAUUGGCCCAAGUGGGAUUAGCUAGUUGGUGAGGUAAUGGCUCACCAAGGCGACGAUCCCUAGCUGGUUUGAGAGGAUGAUCAGCCACACUGGGACUGAGACACGGCCCAGACUCNUACGGGAGGCAGCAGUGGGGAAUAUUGCACAAUGGGCGCAAGCCUGAUGCAGCCAUGCCGCGUGUGUGAAGAAGGCCUUCGGGUUGUAAAGCACUUUCAGUCAGGAGGAAAGGUUAGUAGUUAAUACCUGCUAGCUGUGACGUUACUGACAGAAGAAGCACCGGCUAACUCCGUGCCAGCAGCCGCGGUAAUACGGAGGGUGCGAGCGUUAAUCGGAAUUACUGGGCGUAAAGCGUACGCAGGCGGUUUGUUAAGCGAGAUGUGAAAGCCCCGGGCUCAACCUGGGAACUGCAUUUCGAACUGGCAAACUAGAGUGUGAUAGAGGGUGGUAGAAUUUCAGGUGUAGCGGUGAAAUGCGUAGAGAUCUGAAGGAAUACCGAUGGCGAAGGCAGCCACCUGGGUCAACACUGACGCUCAUGUACGAAAGCGUGGGGAGCAAACAGGAUUAGAUACCCUGGUAGUCCACGCCGUAAACGAUGUCUACUAGAAGCUCGGAACCUCGGUUCUGUUUUUCAAAGCUAACGCAUAAGUA